AAACAAGCAAGUAGCAAUAAUUUACCCAGAACUCGCGCGGAGUUUGGAAAUUGUACAUAGAGCGGUGGCGGGAGAGAUUACAAACGGCAGAUAAAAGCGACUAUUGGAACUUCCUAUCUUAAUAUUGGGGCAGGAUUUUAUAUUUAAUAGCAAGAGUGCUCACAAAGAGCAGUUUUAUUAUUCGGAAAACGUCGCUCAGCAUGGAUGAGUUUGGAGUCUUUGGUGUUUUUGGAGUAAGCGGUCCGCCUCAGAAGCUGCUGAGUGCGGAUGGAGCUUGCAGGGCCUCUGUUGCAAUCCCGGCCUCUGUCCACCAGGUGGUGCUGUUCAGCAGCGGGCGGUGGGGGGACAGGAUCUGUGUCAAUGCAGAGCUCAAUGAUGCUGACAGGUUCCCCAUCACUAUUGGAAAACUGACUCCUUAUAACAAGUAAAAAUGCACAAUUUAAAAAAAAAAAAAAGAUCCAUUAACUUUAGUGUAUUUUAAAGCAUCUAUAUACAUAUUUUCUGCAGGUGUUUGUGAUGGGAGCAGUGGGAAGAGGAGACCUGGACAAACAGCAUCACUCUGACUAUUUCUAUAGAAGGAGGUGACCCGGUAAAUGCACAAGCUUAAUAGUAUGAAGUUAGAAUUUGAUUUGUAACACCUGACAAGUUUAACCCAUUUACCCCAACCAGUCAAAAGCAGAACCAGAACUUAUCCUGGCUGUGAAGGAAUACACCCCAAAGGUAACCCUGACUUCACCCUAAACGUUUCAAAACGUGUGUGGUUUUGGCAGAUGUAAUACUUUUUUUUUUUUUUUUUUUGUUUUUUUUACAUCAGGACGUGGCGGCUCCUCUUGCACCCCGAGAGCUCAACAAAAGAAAGAGAGAGCGAUCCUCGGAGGAUGGCGAUGAUGACGACAAAGUAGCAAAGACGGGCGAGGAGGAGAACAUGUGUCCGAAUGGAGCUAGGGUGAAGACCACACCUGUGGGGAAGGUUAAAGGUCAAGCUAAAAGCAGUAAGAGGCUGUUCAGCAGCAGAGCAGGAGCCUCAAACCUGAAAGGAGCAGGUGAGUGAAUUUUAAAGUCCCACUCCGAUCAUCUUUUGAUCUGUUGUUGAAGCAGCUUCUUUUCAAACUGCUUUUUUUUCUGUUUGUCUCAAUUUGAAUAAAUUAAUUUUCUUUAUAAAUGUCCUCCAACAUUAGAAAAAAUGCCACAAGUGCAUGUUAACAACACAAUUUCCAUUGGAGCGGGUCUCUAAAUAUAUAUUUUUUUGUCUCGCUCCACAGAUAAUGGAGCAGAUGAAGCGGGUGGGGCUGUGGGAAGAACGCCUCCGCAGGGCACAGCAAAGACCAAGAGUAGGCAGGCCAAGACUCCCACACAGACUGGUAUGCUUACGAACACACCUCACACAUGUCACACUCUGUGUUUGGUUUAGUUCAUAGCCAGGUUUCUAUCCAGCCAGAACUUUGAUUAAAC
rnacentral:lncRNA from 1 species